rnacentral:rRNA from 1 species
GUCAAGCGAUGAAGCGCAUACGGUGGAUGCCUAGGCAGUCAGAGGCGAUGAAAGACGUGGAAGCCUGCGAUAAGGUUCGGCGAGGUGGCAAACGACCUGCGACCCGGACAUCUCUGAAUGGGGAAACCCACCCAAGGUAACUUGGGUAUCUCAUGUUGAAUAUAUAGACAUGAGAGGCGAACCGGGGGAACUGAAACAUCUAAGUACCCCGAGGAAAAGAAAUCAACCGAGAUUCCCUUAGUAGUGGCGAGCGAACGGGGACUAGCCCUUAAGUGGCUUUGAGAUUAGCGGAACGCUCUGGAAAGUGCGGCCAUAGUGGGUGAUAGCCCUGUACGCGAAAAUCUCUUAGUCAUGAAAUCGAGUA